rnacentral:rRNA from 1 species
CCUACGGGGGGCAGCAGUGGGGAAUAUUGCGCAAUGGGCGAAAGCCUGACGCAGCGACGCCGCGUGAGGGAUGAAGGUCUUCGGAUCGUAAACCUCUGUCAGCAGGGAAGAACGGUCACUGUGCUAAUCAGCAGUGAAUUGACGGUACCUGCAAAGGAAGCACCGGCUAACUCCGUGCCAGCAGCCGCGGUAAUACGGAGGGUGCGAGCGUUAAUCGGAAUUACUGGGCGUAAAGCGCUCGUAGGCGGUAUGUCAAGUCAAGGGUGAAAGCCCCGCGCUCAACGUGGGAACUGCCUUUGAAACUGGGAAACUGGAGUGUGUGAGAGGAGAGUGGAAUUCCAGGGGUAGGAGUGAAAUCCGUAGAUAUCUGGAGGAACAUCAGUGGCGAAGGCGACUAUCUGGCACAUAACUGACGCUGAGGAGCGAAAGCGUGGGUAGCAAACAGGAUUAGAUACCCGGGUAGUC